GACGAACGCUGGCGGCGCGCCUAACACAUGCAAGUCGAACGAGCAAAGAGGAGCUUGCUUCUCUGAGCGAGUGGCGAACGGGUGAGUAACGCGUGAGGAACCUGCCUCAAAGAGGGGGACAACAGUUGGAAACGACUGCUAAUACCGCAUAAGCCCACGGGUCGGCAUCGACCAGAGGGAAAAGGAGCAAUCCGCUUUGAGAUGGCCUCGCGUCCGAUUAGCUAGUUGGUGAGGUAAUGGCCCACCAAGGCGACGAUCGGUAGCCGGACUGAGAGGUUGAACGGCCACAUUGGGACUGAGACACGGCCCAGACUCCUACGGGAGGCAGCAGUGGGGAAUAUUGCACAAUGGGGGAAACCCUGAUGCAGCGACGCCGCGUGGAGGAAGAAGGUCUUCGGAUUGUAAACUCCUGUUGUUGAGGAAGAUAAUGACGGUACUCAACAAGGAAGUGACGGCUAACUACGUGCCAGCAGCCGCGGUAAAACGUAGGUCACAAGCGUUGUCCGGAAUUACUGGGUGUAAAGGGAGCGCAGGCGGGAAGACAAGUUGGAAGUGAAAUCCAUGGGCUCAACCCAUGAACUGCUUUCAAAACUGUUUUUCUUGAGUAGUGCAGAGGUAGGCGGAAUUCCCGGUGUAGCGGUGGAAUGCGUAGAUAUCGGGAGGAACACCAGUGGCGAAGGCGGCCUACUGGGCACCAACUGACGCUGAGGCUCGAAAGUGUGGGUAGCAAACAGGAUUAGAUACCCUGGUAGUCCACACCGUAAACGAUGAUUACUAGGUGUUGGAGGAUUGACCCCUUCAGUGCCGCAGUUAACACAAUAAGUAAUCCACCUGGGGAGUACGACCGCAAGGUUGAAACUCAAAGGAAUUGACGGGGGCCCGCACAAGCAGUGGAGUAUGUGGUUUAAUUCGACGCAACGCGAAGAACCUUACCAAGUCUUGACAUCCUGCGACGGACAUAGAAAUAUGUCUUUCCUUCGGGACGCAGAGACAGGUGGUGCAUGGUUGUCGUCAGCUCGUGUCGUGAGAUGUUGGGUUAAGUCCCGCAACGAGCGCAACCCUUAUGGUCAGUUACUACGCAAGAGGACUCUGGCCAGACUGCCGUUGACAAAACGGAGGAAGGUGGGGAUGACGUCAAAUCAUCAUGCCCUUUAUGACUUGGGCUACACACGUACUACAAUGGCGUUAAACAAAGAGAAGCAAGACCGCGAGGUGGAGCAAAACUCAGAAACAACGUCCCAGUUCGGACUGCAGGCUGCAACUCGCCUGCACGAAGUCGGAAUUGCUAGUAAUCGUGGAUCAGCAUGCCACGGUGAAUACGUUCCCGGGCCU
rnacentral:rRNA from 1 species